rnacentral:rRNA from 1 species
GACGUAGGGCGCGAGCGUUGUCCGGAUUUAUUGGGCGUAAAGAGCUCGUAGGCGGCUUGUCGCGUCGUUCGUGAAAACCCGGGGCUCAACCCCGGGCUUGCGGUCGAUACGGGCAGGCUGGAGUUCGGUAGGGGAGACUGGAAUUCCUGGUGUAGCGGUGAAAUGCGCAGAUAACAGGAGGAACACCGGUGGCGAAGGCGGGUCUCUGGGCCGAUACUGACGCUGAGGAGCGAAAGCGUGGGGAGCGAACAGG